AGCAGUGUAGUAUAGUGGUUUGGGCACUAGACUACAGCUCUGGAGACCAGGGUUCGAAUCCCUGGUCAACCA